UAAAAUGGAAUAGCAUAUCAGAUAAAUAUGACAUGGUCCUGGAUUUUAAAUAGUGACCCGUUGCACAGCUUCUGAUGAUGUUCAUGUUACGAGUUUGGGCUUCUCAAGACUCUCAGUGUAGCUGCAGAAUUCAAUCUAUGUUUCCUGAUAGCUUCUUGACCUGGAAAUGGACCAGUAUAGUGAUUGACAAUCUUGGAUGCCGACUGGAGACAUCUGGAGAGUUUAAAAUGUUACUGAUCCUGAUAGACUGAGAAAUCCUUUGAUUUAAUUUGCAUUGAAGAAAAUUUAUCUGAAAGGCUCGCAAGCAUUUCCUGCAGGCCAGCAUGCACUGAUUCAGCUCUGUGUUGGCUUUCUUCUUCUUGAAAUAUAGUGCAAGAAACAGACUCAGACAAAUUCUCCACCUUUUCCAGGGAGCCACCAACCACUCUUUGACACAUGUUCAGGGGAUGCCAACCACGUGACACCUUAUACUGGACAGAAGAAACUGACAAUCGUUAUUGGUCACAUAUGCUUACGUCCCAGGAGAAGAGAAUACCAGGCACACUACAGGGUUGCAUGGGACUUGGCUCAGGAAGAGGGAUGAAUCAAAAAGACAUGUUUGGAGCUAUCUCCCUUGUUCAGGAAAAAUUGGAAACUAAAUUUAUUGCAUACUUUCUCAAAGAAAACAUGGAGCAGCACUGGGUCAGUGAGAUGGCUUCCAGAGUCAGACUGAACUGCAAUCCAUGCUCUAUCACGUGAAGAAGAUUUGACAUUGGGUAAGUCUGUCAUCCUCUGUGAGCUUCAGCUGACUCGACGCUAAGGAUGUGUAUUGCAACAGUAUAAUAAAGACAAGGGCUCAGGAUGU